rnacentral:rRNA from 1 species
CAGCAGCCACGGGAAUACGAAGGGGGCUAGCGUUGUUCGGAAUUACUGGGCGUAAAGCGCGUGUAGGCGGGUCUUUAAGUCAGGGGUGAAAUGCCAAGGCUCAACCUUGGAACUGCCUUUGAUACUGGAGAUCUUGAGUCCGGGAGAGGUGAGUGGAACUGCGAGUGUAGAGGUGAGAUUCGUAGAUAUUCGCAAGAACACCAGUGGCGAAGGCGGCUCACUGGCCCGGAAUUGACGCUGAGACGCGAAAGCGUGGGGAGCAAACAGGAUUAGAUACCCCUGUAGUCCCUGUCUCUUAUAC